rnacentral:lncRNA from 10 species
AUGCAGGCUGCGGAGUUAGCCAGACGUGGUUCAGACUGAGGUGAUGGUGUGCCAGUUCUGCUCUCUGCUGUAUCUGUGUCCUGUUUCCUUAUGUCGUUUGUAAUUUUUGAUCACAAGCACAUUUUCAACAAGGUUUGUUUACCAUGGGACCCCCAUGAGGCCUGAACUACAGAAGUGGUUUGGGGUUUGCCUCUGCCAGGUCCCUGGAGGUUUCAUUGGCCUUAGAUUAAUUUUUAUGUUAAACUUCUGUGGUAAAUUGUGUUUCUGGAGAAGACCACAACAAUAGACCCUCUCCCAAUAGCUCUUUUGUAAUGUGAUCUUGCCACUCCUCCAUCAAGAGGUGGAGUUUAUGAUCCCUUCCCCUGAUUCUGAGCUGCCUGUGACUGACUUUGAUUGACAGAAUGUGGCAGAAAUGACACUGCAUCACUUCCAAGACUGGCCUUAUGAGACUCCCAACUUUUGCUUUCACUACUUGGAGAGCUCCCUUUUGGAGGCCAGUCAUCGUGUUAGAAGCAUAACUAACUGGAGACCACUAUGUGGUGGAGAAGCUCAUGCUGUCUACAUAUAGAGGGAAAUGGCAUAUCAAUGAAUUAAACAUGAAAGUGAAGAUUUCUUGGCCCUCUCCAUCUUACUCAGCUCAUUGGAGCCACCAGCUGAAAGCAAGGGAGUGAAUGAGCCCAGCCCCGAGUGGAGCAGAAGGAGCCCAACCAGCGAAGCCCAGCCUGAAUUCCUGACUAACAGACUUAACAGGUGGAUUUUUGGGUUUGCUGAAGAAGAAAAAGAAGGAGAAGGAGAAGGAGAAGAAGAAGAGAAGUGUGAUUAACAAGAAAAAAACUUAUUUGGGGGCUAUGAACACCUUGAAUAUUUAACAGAAUAUCAGCUACUCAUCUGUAACCAUUCACUACAUAGCUAAACUUUUAGUAAUAAUGUAGGUAUUCUCUGGCCAAGAGAAAGAUAGGAUGUGUGUGUGUGUGUGUGUGUGUGUGUGUGUGUGUGUGUGUGUGUGUGUUUAACAGAAGAAAAUGGAAAGAAAAUAAAAUAAAGGAUAUUUUGGAGUCAGUGAGUAAAUAUUUACUUUUAGAGUAUAGCAUGUUUUAAUGGAAUAUGAUGUGUAGGACUGGAGGAAAAAUAACAAAUAUAUUUACUUAUAAUUACUUAUUAUUUUUACAAACUCUACUUACUAAAAAUUAUUUGAGACAGCUCACAUUUAUCCAACAAACACUGCUGAACACCUCAUAUAUCCUUUGCCUAAAUUUGUUGAGAGUAAGUACAGAGCACCACAUGAGUCAGAAUUCAUAAUGGCAUGUACAAGGAAUGUGAUCACUAGUAGGAGGCAAUUCUCUAUGGACUUCCUAAGUUUCUGUAUGUCUUGUGAUAAGAGGUAGAGAAUGCCUUUGUUAUAGAUUAUCUUUUCAAGGAUAUUUGCAUUAUUGACUAGCCUUGGGGGAGAAAAAGGGAGAGACAUAAAGACAGAAAGAAUAUUUCCCUCAAGAGCAAUAGGCCAGCAUGCUUACUGCCUAUUAUAAAGUAUUUGAGUUCCCUAAGCUCAGGAUUUUUUCCUUUUAAACAAAACCCACAGUGGCUUGGUUUUCUUCAAGUUACCAUGUGGGAACUGGGGCUUGGGGAAUGGGUGCAAUUGCUGUAAUAAGUAGUCCCAUAACUGUAAGUAAUAAAUAGUUCUACAUCUCUGGCCCAGGGGUCUUGUAGCUUCAUCCAACAGCCAUAAAAAUGUGUAAGUAAUUUCUUAGUUUGUAUGUGGGGUAAACUUCCAGACCCUUAACAAAUUUUGUUAUUUGCUUUGAGUAUUUGCAUUUUAUUCAGACAAAUACUUGAGCCAAACUUGUACUUUCUCAAGGAAAAAUAUACACUAUCAUAUUUAAUUUUCUUGUUAAAUUUAAACUCAAAAACCUCCCCAGGGGAAAAUGAGUAAAGGAUGUUGUAAAAGAAAGAAGAGUCAAAAUGGAAUGAUGAGAGUACCAAAAAUAGGCUGGGUUUAGUGGCUCAUGCCUGUAAUCUGAGCACUUUGGGAGACCACGGUGGAAGAGUCGCUUGAGGCCAGGAGUUCAAGACCAGCAUAAGCAACAUAGCAAGACCCCAUCUCUAUUAAAAAAAAAAAAAGUAAACAAAUAGACAAACAAAAAAUACCAAAAAUAAUGAAAAACCAAAAAAACAGGUCAAGAAAAGAGUAGAGCACAGGCAUUAAACUUUUAAAAAUGUCUUUAGACAAAUGUUGUUUAAAAAUAUUUUAGAUUCAUCCAGUGGUUAUGCUAAUAGACAUACUUUUGCUGAAAAUAUGGACAAGGGCUAGUUUAUAGGGAGAGAGGUGGUUGACUAUUCUUCACUAAUUUUUAAAUGGCAAAGUUUUAUUACAGUUAAAGAAUGGAAACAGACAGCUGUGAAUAAUUCAUUUAAAAUGUAAGCUGAUGAAAGAAGGAGACAGACAUUUUUCUAGUGUUCAAAUUACGCGGUGCUUGUCCUAAAUACUGCUGAAUUCACCACUUGGAAGGGAAGACAAAUCUUAUUUGGAACGUGCCAUUAUUUAGUAUGUAAUUUCUUAAUAUCUCUUAAUUAUAAAGGUGUCAGUGAAAACCACAAACUCAGUUAUUUAAAUCUUUGAUGCUUUUGAAAAUUCAGCUAUCUUCAUCUAUUAGAC